GAUGAACGCUGGCGGCGUGCCUAAUACAUGCCAGUCGAGCGAACGGACGAGAAGCUUGCUUCUCUGAUGUUAGCGGCGGACGGGUGAGUAACACGUGGAUAACCUACCUAUAAGACUGGGAUAACUUCGGGAAACCGGAGCUAAUACCGGAUAAUAUUUUGAACCGCAUGGUUCAAAAGUGAAAGACGGUCUUGCUGUCACUUAUAGAUGGAUCCGCGCUGCAUUAGCUAGUUGGUAAGGUAACGGCUUACCAAGGCAACGAUGCAUAGCCGACCUGAGAGGGUGAUCGGCCACACUGGAACUGAGACGCGGUCCAGACUCCUACGGGAGGCAGCAGUAGGGAAUCUUCCGCAAUGGGCGAAAGCCUGACGGAGCAACGCCGCGUGAGUGAUGAAGGUCUUCGGAUCGUAAAACUCUGUUAUUAGGGAAGAACAUAUGUGUAAGUAACUGUGCACAUCUUGACGGUACCUAAUCAGAAAGCCACGGCUAACUACGUG
rnacentral:rRNA from 1 species